rnacentral:rRNA from 1 species
AACGUAGGUACCGAGCGUUAUCCGGAUUUACUGGGCGUAAAGCGUGUGCAGGCGGUCGUGCAAGUCGGGCAUGAAAGCCCCUGGCUCAACUAGGGGAAGCUGUCUGAUACUGCGCGACUUGAGGGCUCGAGAGGGCGAUGGAAUUCCGCAUGUAGUGGUGAAAUGCGUAGAGAUGCGGAGGAACACCAGUGGCGAAAGCGGUCGCCUGGCGAGCCCCUGACGCUCAGACACGAAAGCUAGGGGAGCGAACGGG